UGCCCACUGAUAUAAAUUAAAGGGCUGCAGUAUAUUGACUGUACAAAGGUAGCAUAAUCAUUAGUCAUUUAAUUGAUGACUUGUAUGAAAGAUUGGAUGAAAUAUAAACUGUUUCAAAAAUAAAUUUUAAAAUUUAAUUUUUAAGUUAAAAAGCUUAAAUAUAAUAAAAAGACGAGAAGACCCUAUAGAGUUUUAUUUUCAUUUAAUAUAAAAAUUUAUAUAAAUUUAUUAUUUUAAUUUUAGAUUAAAAUUUUAUUGGGGUGAUAGAAAAAUUAAAUUAACUUUUUUUUUUAUUAAACAUAAAUAAUUGAUUAAUUGAUCCAUUUAUAAUGAUUAUAAGAAAAAAUUACCUUAGGGAUAACAGCGUAAUUUUAUUUUCUAGUUCGCAUAGAAAGUAGAGUUUGCGACCUCGAUGUUGGAUUAAGAUAAAAAUUAAAUGUAGAAGUUUAAAAUUUUGA
rnacentral:rRNA from 1 species